rnacentral:misc_RNA from 1 species
GAUGAAGAACGUAGCGAAAUGCGAUAAGUAAUGUGAAUUGCAGAAUUCAGUGAAUCAUCGAAUCUUUGAACGCACAUUGCGCCCCUUGGUAUUCCGGGGGGCAUGCCUGUUCGAGCGUCAUUUCAACCCUCAAGCUCAGCUUGGUAUUGAGUCCAUGUCAGUAAUGGCAGGCUCUAAAAUCAGUGGCGGCGCCGCUGGGUCCUGAACGUAGUAAUAUCUCUCGUUACAGGUUCUCGGUGUGCUUCUGCCAAAACCCAAAUUUUCUAUGGUUGACCUCGGAUCAGGUAGGGAUACCCGCUGAACUUAAGCAUAUCAUAAGCGGAGGA